GGAUGACACACUUUGACUGGAGGCCUGACUGCAUCAAGGAAACCAAACAACAUCAGACAAAAAAAGUUUCAAGAGACUGAAGUACAACUUAAAACAAUACACCCUUCAACUUUGUCAUAAAGAGUCCAGAGGACUGGUUGCAGUAGCAGCAAACCUCACACUGAGGUGUUUGUGAAACAAGUCUCAAAAUGAUGUAAACAAAAACAUGAUCAGAAGAUCCAAUUAAAUCAGGCCUAGUAUUUACUUUCUUUCAGAAUUUCCAAGAAAUUUUUGUAGAAUUAGAAGACGAAAUUGUGCAAAUACAUCUUGAGUUCACCUUAAUUACUUUAUAGAUUAGUCUCUGUGGUAAUCAGACUAACAACACCUCCCCCACCUCCAUUACUAGCAAAGAUGUCCAUAAAACAAUGUCCUGAAAGCUAAAUGUGUUAUAUUUUAGGGUAAUGGGGAAUUAGGGUUGCAGAUGGAAUUAAGGUUGCUGACUUUGAGAUAAAGCAGUCUUCCUGGAUUAUAUAGUGAGUCCAUCAAGAUACAAUUAUCAGGAUCCUUAUACUUAAAAGAGGGAGGCUAGAGGUUUAAAGCCAGAAAUUUAAAGCUGUUUCUCUUCUUGCUUGGAAGAUGGUGGAAGGAACCAUGUAAGAAUUCUAGAAAAGACAAAGAAACAAAUUCUGCCCUAGAGCUUCCAGAAGGAUUCAGCCCUAUAGAUACCUUGGUUUUAACCCAGUUAAAUCAUUUUGGACUUCUGACUCCAGAACUACAAUAGAAUUAAUUUGUGCCACAGACUAUAUGGUAAUCUGUUAUUACAGCAAUAGAAAGCCAAUGCAGUAUUAUUGAACAUAUAUUGUAUAACUAUCUCUGCCUUUUAGAUUAGAUAUAAGUCAUGGUCACAUGGUUACUAACCUCAUUAAGUUUAGUAGAGGAUAAGACAAUCUUCUCUGCACAUUAUUGAGUGAGUUCUCUGGGGGAAACUUUCAUGAUAUUAAGAGUCUUCUGAUUUUUGAGGAGCUACAUUAGGAGGAUGUUCUCAAACAUAUUAAUGGGGAGAAAUGGAGAUUUAUGUAGAAUAUUUGACUUGGGAAGGACCUUAACUUACAUAGCAUCAGCAUUGGUACCAUGAUAUCCAGACUACAUGUGUUAUUUCUUCUACAUCCAACCACCUGCUCCAGAAGGUGAUACACAGGUAUGAAGUUGUGAAAACUGGUACUUCCCCACUACCAACAUGAACAGGUUAAUUUUUAGGUGCUCCUCUCACUUGACUAUGACCAGCAUUUUAUAUAAUGAGUUUUCUGGCUUAGGGUUGAAUAUAUUUGCAUUUUAGAUCACCUCCAACAUGACACUUAUUUAGCAAGAUUGAUAACACUCUUUCAGGCAGAAAGUUACUAUAACAGGUACUGUUAUAAGACUAGGACUUUGCAGUGUAUGGGGGGAUGGUAAUUUUUUUCCUUUGAAUGUUUCUGAAUAGGUGCCCAUGUCGCUUAUGAGAAAUACAGUAAUCAAAAAUGUUACUUCUGCCAGGUGUGGUGGUUCAUGCCUAUAAUCCCAGCACCUCUGGAAACUGAGGCAGAAAGAUAUGAGUUGAAAGCCAGCCUUGGCAACUUAGCAAGGCCAUAAGCAACUUAGUGAGACAUGUCUCAAAAUGAAAUACAAGCCAGGCACAGUGGUAAAUGCCUGUAAUCCCAGAGGCUUGGGAGGCUGAGGCAGGAGAAUCGUGAGUUCAAAGCCAGUCUCAGCAAAAGUAAAGUGCUAAGCAACUCAGUGAGGCCCUGUCUCUAAAUAAAGUACAAAAAUAGGGCUGGGAAUGUGGCUCCAUGGUUGAGCAUCCUUGGGUUCAAUCCCUGAUAGAAAAACAAAAAAGGUCACUUACACACACACACACACGCACACCACCACCACCACCACCACACACACACAUUUGCUACAACUGCAAUUAGUAUUAUUCUUUUUUAAAAUGAAGUGUCACAGAAAAAGUCCCAUGUGCUAGGUUGGAGCCCUGAAAGGUAGUAUUACAAGUGCUUAAACAUAGACAAAUCAAGAUUCAAAUCCUGGCCUUGCCACUGUGGGACCCUAGUAAUAUGAACAUCAUUUUCAUCAUCUGUAGAGCAGAGAUACUAGAAAACAUCUCAUAAGCGGUUUUGUGAUAAUUAAAGAGAUAAUUCAUAUAAAGUGCUUAAUGCAUUGAAUCAAUAAAUGUUAGCUUCUGUUUUAAUAGCCAAAGGAACUAAUUUGCUGACAAGGGGUAAGU
rnacentral:lncRNA from 1 species